rnacentral:rRNA from 1 species
GGGUUGUGAGGUUAAGCGACUAAGCGUACACGGUGGAUGCCCUGGCAGUCAGAGGCGAUGAAGGACGUGCUAAUCUGCGAUAAGCGUCGGUAAGGUGAUAUGAACCGUUAUAACCGGCGAUUUCCGAAUGGGGAAACCCAGUGUGAUUCGUCACACUAUCAUUAACUGAAUCCAUAGGUUAAUGAGGCGAACCGGGGGAACUGAAACAUCUAAGUACCCCGAGGAAAAGAAAUCAACCGAGAUUCCCCCAGUAGCGGCGAGCGAACGGGGAGCAGCCCAGAGCCUGAAUCAGUGUGUGUGUUAGUGGAAGCGUCUGGAAAGGCGCGCGAUACAGGGUGACAGCCCCGUACACAAAAAUGCACAUGCUGUGAGCUCGAUGAGUAGGGCGGGACACGUGGUAUCCUGUCUGAAUAUGGGGGGACCAUCCUCCAAGGCUAAAUACUCCUGACUGACCGAUAGUGAACCAGUACCGUGAGGGAAAGGCGAAAAGAACCCCGGCGAGGGGAGUGAAAAAGAACCUGAAACCGUGUACGUACAAGCAGUGGGAGCACGCUUAGGCGUGUGACUGCGUACCUUUUGUAUAAUGGGUCAGCGACUUAUAUUCUGUAGCAAGGUUAACCGAAUAGGGGAGCCGAAGGGAAACCGAGUCUUAACUGGGCGUUAAGUUGCAGGGUAUAGACCCGAAACCCGGUGAUCUAGCCAUGGGCAGGUUGAAGGUUGGGUAACACUAACUGGAGGACCGAACCGACUAAUGUUGAAAAAUUAGCGGAUGACUUGUGGCUGGGGGUGAAAGGCCAAUCAAACCGGGAGAUAGCUGGUUCUCCCCGAAAGCUAUUUAGGUAGCGCCUCGUGAAUUCAUCUCCGGGGGUAGAGCACUGUUUCGGCAAGGGGGUCAUCCCGACUUACCAACCCGAUGCAAACUGCGAAUACCGGAGAAUGUUAUCACGGGAGACACACGGCGGGUGCUAACGUCCGUCGUGAAGAGGGAAACAACCCAGACCGCCAGCUAAGGUCCCAAAGUCAUGGUUAAGUGGGAAACGAUGUGGGAAGGCCCAGACAGCCAGGAUGUUGGCUUAGAAGCAGCCAUCAUUUAAAGAAAGCGUAAUAGCUCACUGGUCGAGUCGGCCUGCGCGGAAGAUGUAACGGGGCUAAACCAUGCACCGAAGCUGCGGCAGCGACGCUUAUGCGUUGUUGGGUAGGGGAGCGUUCUGUAAGCCUGCGAAGGUGUGCUGUGAGGCAUGCUGGAGGUAUCAGAAGUGCGAAUGCUGACAUAAGUAACGAUAAAGCGGGUGAAAAGCCCGCUCGCCGGAAGACCAAGGGUUCCUGUCCAACGUUAAUCGGGGCAGGGUGAGUCGACCCCUAAGGCGAGGCCGAAAGGCGUAGUCGAUGGGAAACAGGUUAAUAUUCCUGUACUUGGUGUUACUGCGAAGGGGGGACGGAGAAGGCUAUGUUGGCCGGGCGACGGUUGUCCCGGUUUAAGCGUGUAGGCUGGUUUUCCAGGCAAAUCCGGAAAAUCAAGGCUGAGGCGUGAUGACGAGGCACUACGGUGCUGAAGCAACAAAUGCCCUGCUUCCAGGAAAAGCCUCUAAGCAUCAGGUAACAUCAAAUCGUACCCCAAACCGACACAGGUGGUCAGGUAGAGAAUACCAAGGCGCUUGAGAGAACUCGGGUGAAGGAACUAGGCAAAAUGGUGCCGUAACUUCGGGAGAAGGCACGCUGAUAUGUAGGUGAAGCGACUUGCUCGUGGAGCUGAAAUCAGUCGAAGAUACCAGCUGGCUGCAACUGUUUAUUAAAAACACAGCACUGUGCAAACACGAAAGUGGACGUAUACGGUGUGACGCCUGCCCGGUGCCGGAAGGUUAAUUGAUGGGGUUAGCGCAAGCGAAGCUCUUGAUCGAAGCCCCGGUAAACGGCGGCCGUAACUAUAACGGUCCUAAGGUAGCGAAAUUCCUUGUCGGGUAAGUUCCGACCUGCACGAAUGGCGUAAUGAUGGCCAGGCUGUCUCCACCCGAGACUCAGUGAAAUUGAACUCGCUGUGAAGAUGCAGUGUACCCGCGGCAAGACGGAAAGACCCCGUGAACCUUUACUAUAGCUUGACACUGAACAUUGAGCCUUGAUGUGUAGGAUAGGUGGGAGGCUUUGAAGUGUGGACGCCAGUCUGCAUGGAGCCGACCUUGAAAUACCACCCUUUAAUGUUUGAUGUUCUAACGUGGACCCGUAAUCCGGGUUGCGGACAGUGUCUGGUGGGUAGUUUGACUGGGGCGGUCUCCUCCUAAAGAGUAACGGAGGAGCACGAAGGUUGGCUAAUCCUGGUCGGACAUCAGGAGGUUAGUGCAAUGGCAUAAGCCAGCUUGACUGCGAGCGUGACGGCGCGAGCAGGUGCGAAAGCAGGUCAUAGUGAUCCGGUGGUUCUGAAUGGAAGGGCCAUCGCUCAACGGAUAAAAGGUACUCCGGGGAUAACAGGCUGAUACCGCCCAAGAGUUCAUAUCGACGGCGGUGUUUGGCACCUCGAUGUCGGCUCAUCACAUCCUGGGGCUGAAGUAGGUCCCAAGGGUAUGGCUGUUCGCCAUUUAAAGUGGUACGCGAGCUGGGUUUAGAACGUCGUGAGACAGUUCGGUCCCUAUCUGCCGUGGGCGCUGGAGAACUGAGGGGGGCUGCUCCUAGUACGAGAGGACCGGAGUGGACGCAUCACUGGUGUUCGGGUUGUCAUGCCAAUGGCACUGCCCGGUAGCUAAAUGCGGAAGAGAUAAGUGCUGAAAGCAUCUAAGCACGAAACUUGCCCCGAGAUGAGUUCUCCCUGACUCCUUGAGAGUCCUGAAGGAACGUUGAAGACGACGACGUUGAUAGGCCGGGUGUGUAAGCGCAGCGAUGCGUUGAGCUAACCGGUACUAAUGAACCGUGAGGCUUAACCUUACAACGCCGAAG